UCGGUGAUGCCGUGGUGGCUGUGAUGAUAGUGAUGGGAAAGGUCCACGUGCACCCGACAAGCACAGGGUGCACCCCUUCGGCCACGUGGCCAAAGCAAGGAGGGAUAUGGUGGUUCAUGGGGACAUGCACAGUGGCAUACGAAAGGGGGCGUAGAAAUAGCGCAGGUCGGCCGUGGGAGCAAGGAGAAUGGUGCAGCAGCUAUGCAGGGGGGCAUGGGCCAUGCAAAAAUGAAAAACAAACUGGGCAUGGUGCGUGAAGAGAAUGACAUCGUGAUGAUGGAUGUGGGUGGGUAGAGCAGGAGCUUGACGGGGCCUGCGAGCGCUGCUGCCUAAUGUAACAAUACCCGUGACAGCUACUGCAUUGUGUUCAUUGUUACAGAAUGGGAGUUUUUUGGGCCGAUUACAAACAUGUGUG
rnacentral:lncRNA from 1 species